GGAUUAGGCAUGCAAGUCGAACGAGGAUAUACUCUUCGGAGUAUAAGCCGAGUGGCGAAAGGGUGAGUAAUGCAUAGAUGACAUACCUUUAGGAUAAGAAUAACUUUGUGAAAAUGGAGUUAAUACUUAAUAAUUACGAAGCAAAAUCAAUUAGUUUCGUCAAUGGGGGGGUAGCAAUACCUCUCGCCUGAAGAGUGGUUUAUGUCCUAUCAGCUUGUUGGUGGGGUAAUGGCCUACCAAGGCAAAGACGGGUAGCCGGUCUAAGAGGAUGGUCGGCCACACUGGGACUGAGACACUGCCCAGACUCCUACGGGAGGCUGCAGUCGAGAAUCUUUCGCAAUGCCCGAAAGGGUGACGAAGCGACGCCGCGUGAGCGAAGAAGGCCUUAGGGUUGUAAAGCUCUGUCGAGGGUUAUGAAAUAUAGAUAGGUUAAUACCUUAUCUAUUUGACAAAGGCCCAAAAGGAAGCCACUGCUAACUCUGUGCCAGCAGCCGCGGUAAUACAGAGGUGGCAAGCGUUGUUCGGAAUUAUUGGGCGUAAAGAGCACGUAGGUGGUUUUGUAAGUCAGGUGUGAAAGCCUUCUGUUCAAAGGAAGAACGGCAUCUGAAACUGCGAAUCUUGAGUGUAGGAGGGGAGAGUGGAACUUCUGGUGGAGCGGUGAAAUGCGUAGAUAUCAGAAGGAACGUCGGCGGCGAAAGCGACUCUCUGGCCUAUUACUGACACUGAGGUGCGAAAGUUAGGGGAGCAAACGGGAUUAGAUACCCCGGUAGUCCUAACCGUAAACGAUGGGCACUAAGUAGAGGGAAUUA
rnacentral:rRNA from 1 species